rnacentral:rRNA from 1 species
AAGCUUGCUUUUGAAGAUGACGAGCGGCGGACGGGUGAGUAAUGCCUGGGAAUUUGCCCAUUUGUGGGGGAUAACAGUUGGAAACGACUGCUAAUACCGCAUACGCCCUACGGGGGAAAGCAGGGGACCUUCGGGCCUUGCGCUGAUGGAUAAGCCCAGGUGGGAUUAGCUAGUAGGUGAGGUAAAGGCUCACCUAGGCGACGAUCCCUAGCUGGUCUGAGAGGAUGAUCAGCCACACUGGGACUGAGACACGGCCCAGACUCCUACGGGAGGCAGCAGUGGGGAAUAUUGCACAAUGGGGGAAACCCUGAUGCAGCCAUGCCGCGUGUGUGAAGAAGGCCUUCGGGUUGUAAAGCACUUUCAGCGAGGAGGAAAGGGUGUAAGUUAAUACCUUACAUCUGUGACGUUACUCGCAGAAGAAGCACCGGCUAACUCCGUGCCAGCAGCCGCGGUAAUACGGAGGGUGCGAGCGUUAAUCGGAAUUACUGGGCGUAAAGCGUGCGCA